CUACGGGAGGCAGCAGUGGGGAAUAUUGCACAAUGGGGGAAACCCUGAUGCAGCAACGCCGCGUGAGUGAUGAAGGUCUUCGGAUUGUAAAGCUCUGUCUUCGGGGACGAUAAUGACGGUACCCGAGGAGGAAGCCACGGCUAACUACGUGCCAGCAGCCGCGGUAAU
rnacentral:rRNA from 1 species